AACGCACGAGACCUGCGGACCUGCGGAGGGAUCAUUAAUGAGAAGCUGCCCCUCGUGGGUAGACCUCCCACCCUCUGUGAACUUACCUUUGUUGCUUUGGCAGGCCCGUCCUCUGGACCGCCGGCUCCGGCUGGCCCGUGCCUGCCAGAGGAUUCCAAACCCUGUCUGUCAGUGUUGUCUGAGUCUAUAUGAAAUCGUUAAAACUUUCAACAACGGAUCUCUAGAUCGGAAGAGCACACG
rnacentral:misc_RNA from 1 species